rnacentral:rRNA from 1 species
GUAGGGGGCUAGCGUUGUCCGGAAUCAUUGGGCGUAAAGCGCGUGUAGGCGGCCCGGUAAGUCCGCUGUGAAAGUCGGGGGCUCAACCCUCGAAUGCCGGUGGAUACUGUCGGGCUCGAGUACGGAAGAGGCGAGUGGAAUUCCUGGUGUAGCGGUGAAAUGCGCAGAUAUCAGGAGGAACACCGAUUGCGAAGGCAGCUCGCUGGGACGUAACUGACGCUGAGACGCGAAAGCGUGGGGAGCAAACAGGAUUAGAUACCCUGGUAGUCCACGCUGUAAACGAUGGGCACUAGGUGUGGGGGGUGUCGACUCCCUCCGUGCCGAAGCUAACGCAUUAAGUGCCCCGCCUGGGGAGUACGGCCGCAAGGCUAAA